CUCUGUGACCUCCUACGGGAGGCAGCAGUGGGGAAUAUUGCACAAUGGGGGAAACCCUGAUGCAGCCAUGCCGCGUGUGUGAAGAAGGCCUUCGGGUUGUAAAGCACUUUCAGUAGGGAGGAAGGUAGUGUAGUUAACACCUGCACUAUUUGACGUUACCUACAGAAGAAGCACCGGCUAACUCCGUGCCAGCAGCCGCGGUAAUACGGAGGGUGCGAGCGUUAAUCGGAAUUACUGGGCGUAAAGCGCAUGCAGGCGGCCUGUUAAGUCAGAUGUGAAAGCCCGGGCUUAACCUCGGAAUUGCAUUUGAAACUGGCAGGCUAGAGUCUUGUAGAGGGGGUAGAAUUUCAGGUGUAGCGGUGAAAUGCGUAGAGAUCUGAAGGAAUACCAGUGGCGAAGGCGGCCCCCUGGACAAAGACUGACGCUCAGAUGCGAAGGCGUGGGGAGCAAACAGGAUUAGAUACCCUUGGAG
rnacentral:rRNA from 1 species